rnacentral:rRNA from 1 species
CCCUUAGAUGUCCGGGGCCGCACGCGCGCUACACUGAAGGAAUCAGCGUGGCUUUCUCCCUGACCCGAAAGGGUUGGGAAACCCGUUGAAUCUCCUUCGUGAUAGGGAUUGGGGCUUGAAAUUGUUCCCCAUGAACGAGGAAUUCCCAGUAAGCGCGAGUCAUAAGCUCGCGUUGCUUACGUCCCUGCCCUUUGUACACACCGCCCGUCGCUACUACCGAUUGAACGGUUUAGUGAGGGCCUCGGAUUGGUCUCGGCCCGCUCUUUACCGGGCGGCGCCGUUGGUCGAGAAGACGCUCGAACUUGAUCGUUUAGAGGAAGUAAAAGUCGUAACA